rnacentral:lncRNA from 1 species
UUUGUUUAAAUUAGACCUUGUAGCUCCGACUAUAGUUGUUCAGAUGUUAGGUCCUUUUAUUCAUAUUAAAUAAAAAUAUGUGCCUUAAUCUUUCCACUCAGUAAAUUUUUCAUUAUAUGAUAAAUUUCCUAUGCACUAUUUUCUCUUUUUAGAGGAAUGCUUUGCAUUAUUUUCAAUCAAUUAACAUUAGAUGAACUUAGCUUAAUCAUGAUAUUUGUAAACUAAUCUUUAGUAAACGAUACUUUAUCAGGAACCUCUAUUUGCUCAGUUUGAGGUUUGCCCUCUCUAUUAUUUGUUCUAAAACUAGUGUUUCCCUAUCAAA